AGGUCAGGAUCAUCUUCAAACUCUAAAGAAAAGCAGGGAAAAGAAGAUAAUGAGUGCAUGCAAAACCAAAUUGGAAAGUCAAAUUUGAUUUGAACUGCAUGGUGAGAGAUGAUAUGCAAACAAAUUUGGAGUCACAUCACAAAUUAUACAACAUUUCUGGACAACAUAGAAGCUAAAUUCAUCUUAAUAUGCUAUUAGGAUCCCAAAUAGAUAAAAAAAAAAUCCUGCUUUACUUAGGAAUUUCAAUUUGUAUUUUAAU
rnacentral:misc_RNA from 1 species